rnacentral:misc_RNA from 1 species
CGUCCGCUGCAUAGCAGUUACAGCCUCUCCGCCCCCUCCAAAGAAGCGCUACGCCCCGUAGUCGCCACCGGGCCAUGGAGGAGUUCUACGGCAUGGAGGUCUUCGCCGGCAAGACGGCAAGGCCCAAUAUUUCGGCCGACCGCGUGCUGCACGUGACGCAGGUGGCGCUACCGCCGAACGCGUCGCACGCUAUCACGCUGCUCGUCAAGACGGAGGGCAAGUCGUUUGUGCUCGCGACACUGGACCCGCAGCAGGCACUCUUCCACAUGAGCGUGGACAUGCUCUUUAGCGGCAAGCAGAAGUUGGCUUUCACCUGCGAAGGUGCGGCUGGAGCCGUGCACAUCAUCGGGUACACACAGCUCGCGGAGGAGGAGGAAGCCAUAGACGACGAGGAUGACGAUGAUAUGAUGGACGACGAGGACGUCGCGUAACGUUGAGUUGGGAAAGAAGGCGCGGUAGAGCAUGCGUGUACGUGUGCCUGCUUGUAAGCCCCUGUGAGAUUACGUCUCCUUGGCUGCCAUAUGCGAUGGACGUGGUGCCACCAGUGAUGAACGCCACACCACAUCCGUGCGUGCGUGCGCCGCUGAUUUCGUUGAAAAGCCCGCGCAUCUCCGGCGUGCGUGUAUGUGACGCUAAAACGGGUCAUUGCCCUGCCAGGGUGGGGCCGGCAGUGGAUGAGACGCGUCGCUGCCUGCGCGACGGCGGCACGUGUCUAGGUUGGGGGAGGGAGGAGGCGACACAUUGGGAAGCCGGACCAUCGGGUGCCUCAUUCCUCACUGCCAUACAACGUCUUUCCUUUCUCUGUUCACCGUCAUGGCAAACUCGGCACAGGCGCUCUGCACGGACUCCUCACUAAUUGCAGAAGUACAGGGGCGCGCAGUUGAUGGAACCCUUCGCCUCAGCAAGGAACCCCCCCCCCCCCCCCCCCCCAUCCACACACACACACACAGAAAAGAAAUUAGAUGCAGAAGAGGGAAGGUAGGAGCGUGCCGACACGAUGCCUGCUGGUGUGCGGCGCUGCUACUCGCCUGCUGCUCGACGAUGUACGUGGGCGGAGAUCGUUGGCGCAUGCGCGUCCUUCUUGGACAGCCCCGCUACCGCUCACCUCUGCUCCUCCGCCCCCUCGGCUACGUGGCCACCCCACGGCGGUGCGUGCGCGUAGCGGCGCGCCGCCUUUGACUUUGCUCGGAUCGACGUACUCUAUACCAUGUCUUCGCGCUAAAAGGCGGUUGCGGUGUACGCCAUGCACCACGCCUGCCUUCUCUCAUGCACUUGCCACCGCCCUCCCGCCCCUCCUCCCUUCUUCUGCGCGACCAUCCCGUGAACUGCCCGAUGGGGCUCACCCAAACCCCCUCGCUUUCCCUCCCUCCUCCCCCCUCUCCGCCGUCCACGCGCAUGCGCAG